UAGCUAUAUUAACGCCAAAUGUUACUAAAAGAGACAUGCAUAUGUUGUACGAACAGAGACUAUAAAUAACGAGGACAGUCAACUCUUGGCGAGCGCAGUGGGAUGCCUAGCGUUGACUCAACUCUUGUCCGCGGUCUGCCUGGAGAUCUUGGAAGAGUCUUGUAGGGCUUUGAAGUCAGAUGACUACAUUUCAGAGAAUGUAAAGGAAAUAAUCCCUAAUGUUGGUGCCAAGGUCAGGAACAAGGCAAAACUAGAGACAGGAGUCUUUAAUAAAGGAACAUAUAGUACCUCAUUCUUAUCCACUAAUUUAUACCAUUGGUGACGUAACAUUAUAUGUAACAUGCAGUGCACAAUCAGAACUUUGUAUCGCAAGUUAAUAAAAGAUGUGUCAAGGGUAAAACUGCUGCAGUCAGUGGUCUUAAAAUGUAAACAAAGGAAUAAACCUCUUGUUAUUGAAGCAACAGU